GUCGGAGGAUCUCACCUUCAAGGACCAUAACAUUGUAUCAAUCGCAUCUGCUAGAAAAAUGACAGGAUGGAUAAUGAGAACCUUCAAAACUAGGGAGGCCAAGCCCAUGAUGACACUCUUCAGGUCACUUGUUCUAUCUAGGCUGGAAUAUUGCUGCACUCUAACAGCACCUUUCAAGGCAGGUGAAAUUGCCGACCUAGAAAAUGUACAGAGAACUUUCACGGCGCGCAUAACGGAGAUAAAACACCUCAAUUACUGGGAGCGCUUGAGUUUCUAAACCUGUAUUCCCUGGAACGCAGGAGGGAGAGAUACAUGAUUAUAUACACCUGGAAAAUCCUAGAGGGACUAGUACCGAACUUGCACACGAAAAUCACUCACUACGAAAGCAAAAGACUUGGCAGACGAUGCACCAUCCCCCAAUGAAAAGCAGGGGUGUCACUAGCACGUUAAGAGACCAUACAAUAAGUGUCAGGGGACCGAGACUGUUCAACUGCCUCCCAGCACACAUAAGGGGGAUUACCAACAGACCCCUGGCAGUCUUCAAGCUGGCACUGGACAAGCACCUAAAGGCAGUUCCUGAUCAGCCGGGCUGUGGCUCGUACGUUGGUUUGCGUGCAGCCAGCAGCAACAGCCUGGUUGAUCAGGCGCUGAUCCACCAGGAGGCCUGGUCACAGACCGGGCCGCGGGGGCGUUGACCCCCGAAACUCUCUCCAGGUAAACUCCAGACUACUGUCAGGGUAAAUGCCUUUCCCUUGAUCAGAAGAAUGGAAAAAGAAAUAAAUAACUUGCUGAGGUAGAAUAAUAAUGAAAAUUGUAAAAAGUAUUUAAUUAAAUAUCAUAAAAGUAGCCAUCGGAUAUUCUGGUUGUUCUUGAGACAGGGGAAUAUUCUUAUCAAGGAUAUCUUACUCAGGUGGGAAGGUAAGAUGUUUAUAUCCUUGGUUGACAGUGGUAUUCUUUAACAUAUAUAGAUGGAGAAUGCUCCUGUCAUUGCUGGUUAGUAGAAUCCCACUUCAGAUUGUAAGGGAGAGAUGAGGAAUCGAUAUUUCCUAAGUCUCGUUGCCGGGGAUCUAGCUCCCAAAUUAUCGAGCAUCUGCUACGGGAAGACCAAGCCAGCAGCAGAGCUGGUAAUAACAAGAAAAAAAAACUGUUACAAUAUGGUUAACAAAGUGUAAAUUAAAGAAAGACAAUGGGUGGUAAUUGUACUUCAAUGUCAUUACUGGUAACCAGGUUAAACACAAUACUUUAAACAAUAUUCCUGGUAGAUCACCUUGCCUGAUUAGGAGAAGAGUGGUGGUGAAGUGAUUACUCCAACUCCCAACCAAACCAGGUAAGGUUAAUACUACCAGGAUUAAAAAUUAAGACCUCAGACCCGGAGAAAUCUGGCAUUUUUGCAGCGGCCUGCUAGAUGGCAAUGUGGGCAGCAACUCACUGUAACAAUCUCUUGGAAUAUGAAAUACCAUUAGCCCAAUUUGCUGGCUUUUCUCCUCACACUACCUUCAGUUCCUCUCACCUCCACCUGGCUUCUGCUGGGGAUCUUCUUAAGUCAUGAGAAAUGCUAUGAAAAUUCAUGGCAGGGUAUCAUGCAAGAUGAAGUUCAUUGUUAAAACCCACGCAUUUAGUUACUGGUGACUGGCAUCAACACACACAGGAAACAUAAAUAGCAUAUGAUCAUUAACUCAAAUAAAUUUUGGUGUCUCUAAAGGCAACAUUCCAAGCCACCUACUAUUCCUCCUCUACAUCAGUGACCAACCCAACUUAUCAAAUCAGUACUUUUUACUGAUGACACUUGUAUAUGUAUUUCAAUGCAAACCACUCUUCCUUUAACAAUAUAGUAAACAAACAUAAAAAUCUAGACUUCUAUGACAGGCACCAAACUCUUAUGUCGUAUAGAGAAGGCCUACUACAUUUUGUAAACAAAGCUGCCACCUACAUAAGGUUCAUUUUCAGAGCUACACCUAGAUGAUAAACUGAAAUUCAUUACUCAUAUUUAGCACAAAGCAGGUCACAGGAGUUGAAAAUAUAAUUCUGAAGAUCCAUAUUCAUGUAUAUAACUCCAUAACAGGAAUUCCUGUUAUGGAAUUUGACACACUAUUAAACAUACUGGGCCUGUUUGGUGAUCAACUACAGACAAUGAACCACAAUGCAUACCCAACACAAAAAUAUACAUUGCACAGUAUACUAAUCAUAUACAGUGGACCCCCGCAUAACGAUGGCAUCACAUAGCGAUUAUUUCGCAUACCGCUUACUUUAAUCGCAAAAUUUUUGCCGCGCAUACCGAUUAAAAACCCGCUCACCGAUUUUCGUCCGAGACGCGUCCAAUGUGCGCCCUCACCCAGCCUCACAUGUGCCGCCCAUGCCAUUGUUUACCAGGCAGCCUCCGCGCUAACAUCCAAGCAUACACUCGGAAUAUUUCGUAUUAUUACAGUGUUUUCGGUGGUGUUUCUGGAAAAUAAGUGACCAUGGGCCCCAAGAAAGCUUCUAGUGCCAACCCUGUGGUAAAAAGGGUGUGAGAAUUAGUAUGGAAAUUAAGAAAGAUUUUGAAGGGUUUGGGGCUAACCCUGAGAAGCCUAUGCCAGUUGUGGAAUCCAUUGUGCCUACUUCAAAGAUUAAGGAAAUGUGUGCACAGUGGGUUGAACUGCAAACCUUUAUGGAUGAAAAUCACCCUGACACAGCUGUUGCAAGCCGUGCUGGUGACUAUUUCAAUGACAAUGUUGUGGCCCAUUUUAGACAAAUCGUAAAGGAACGGGAGGUACAGAGCUCUAUGGACAGAUUUGUUGUGCGACAGAGGUCCAGUGACUCUCAAGCUGGUCCUAGUGGCAUUAAAAGAAGAAGGGAAGUAACCCCGGAAAAGGACUUGCUACCUCAAGUCCUAAUGGAAGGGGAUUCCCCUUCUAAACAGUAAGAAGAUAAUGCUCUCCCCUCCUCCCAUCCCAUCAAUCAUCACCAGAUCUUCAAUAAAAGUAAGUGUCAUGUAAGUGUGCAUGCCUUUUUCAGUUUGUGUAUUAAAAUUAACAUUUCAUGUGGUAAAAAAAUUUUUUUUUCAUACUUUUGGGUGUCUUGCACGGAUUAAUUUUAUUUCCAUUAUUUCUUAUGGGGAAAAUUCAUUCACAUAACGAUUAUUUCGCAUAACAAUUACCCCUCUUGCACGGAUUAAAAUCGUUAACCGGGGGUCCACUGUAUAACAUACAAUAUACAGUGGACCCCCGCAUAACGAUCACCUCCGAAUGCGACCAAUUAUGUAAGUGUAUUUAUGUAAGUGCGUUUGUACGUGUAUGUUUGGGGGUCUGAAAUGGACUAAUCUACUUCACAAUAUUCCUUAUGGGAACAAAUUCGGUCAGUACUGGCACCUGAACAUACUUCUGGAGUGAAAAAAUAUCGUUAACCGGGGGUCCACUGUACUAUGGGCUUGCCAACAAAUUUUUAACAUGAUCCAUUCUAUCUGCAGGAACAGUAUAAGCAUACAGCUUUCAGUAAUAAAGGUUAGGUUAGGCAACAUUCAUCAGGUAACAGGACAAAUUUUCCUGAUGCAGGUCUUAGUCACAUGAUGACCCAUUGUUGGAACUUUGGUCAUCUAACUGAGGUCUUCUGCUGGCUUACCGGUCUACCCCUUUAAAAAUUAUGGUCAUUGUUAUAACCAUAUAUGUCUGUAAAUAAUAAACAUUUGCAUUUCAAAUAGAAUUUAUAUUUUUGUAUCAAUAACUGUACUGAAAGUGUGAAACUUCAUUACCAGCAGUGUAAAUACAACCUCUCCUCACUUAGCGAUGUACUUGUUUACUGACAACUUGGACUUACGACGGGCUCUCUGACCAGUAUUCAUACCUGUGUCAGAACUGGUUUCCUCUAUUCUGUUUAUUACAAUAUAUGUACAAUACAUUGCUGUAUAAACAUUUCAAAAUAUGUAUACUAAAAAUGUUAUAAAUGGUGCAAGGGUGACAUUAAAGCAAUAUCAAAGAUGGUUGAUAUAAACCCACUACCAUUAUAGUAUGCUCCUCUUUUAGCAACGAAUUCUUUUACCAAAAUGGUAUUAGGAAUGGAACUCUGUCGUUAAGUGAGGAGAGGCUGUACUCUUGCAUUAUAUUCAUGGUAAAGUGCUAAAACAGUAAAAGGCUCAUACAGCAUGGAUCAAACUGCAUUUGGUUUGCAUUUGGUCUUUUCCAUGGAUCAAACUGCGUUUGAUCCAUGGAGAAGAUACCUCAAUUUACAUUACAAAAACAAAAGCAAAACUCUUAUGGGCUAUAUAGUAGUGUAGCUUCAAUUUCUUGGAUCAAAAGCCCUUCAGCAUCAAAGUAUCCCACAUAAGAGCUUUUUUUUUUUAAGCAGUGAGCUUGACAUAGCACUGAUUGCACUUCCUCUGUAUCUGAUUAUUGAGUGAAGUUACCAUAGUAUUUUUAUAAUAAUAUCAAUGAAUGGUGACUAUAAUUAAUAUUCCCAGUUAUGUGUGUUGGCAUAAGAUGCAUAAAAAUGUUGUCUAAAUGUGGCUUGACAACUAUACUACAGCAUGUAUCAAUAUUUUACUCUUAAAGACAGUAUUAAAUCUUUGUUGUAAAUAAAGUACGUACAAUACUGA